rnacentral:rRNA from 1 species
GUGCCAGCAGCCGCGGUAAUACGUAGGUGGCAAGCGUUAUCCGGAAUUAUUGGGCGUAAAGCGCGCGUAGGCGGUUUUUUAAGUCUGAUGUGAAAGCCCACGGCUCAACCGUGGAGGGUCAUUGGAAACUGGAAAACUUGAGUGCAGAAGAGGAAAGUGGAAUUCCAUGUGUAGCGGUGAAAUGCGCAGAGAUAUGGAGGAACACCAGUGGCGAAGGCGACCUUCUGGUCUGUAACUGACGCUGAUGUGCGAAAGCGUGGGGAUCAAACAGGAUUAGAUACCCUG